rnacentral:rRNA from 1 species
GACGAACGCUGGCGGCGUGCCUAAUACAUGCAAGUAGAACGCACAGUUUAUACCGUAGCUUGCUACACCAUAGACUGUGAGUUGCGAACGGGUGAGUAACGCGUAGGUAACCUGCCUGGUAGCGGGGGAUAACUAUUGGAAACGAUAGCUAAUACCGCAUAAUAUUGAUUAUUGCAUGAUAAUUAAUUGAAAGGUGCAAUUGCACCACUACCAGAUGGACCUGCGUUGUAUUAGCUAGUAGGUGAGGUAACGGCUCACCUAGGCGACGAUACAUAGCCGACCUGAGAGGGUGAUCGGCCACACUGGGACUGAGACACGGCCCAGACUCCUACGGGAGGCAGCAGUAGGGAAUCUUCGGCAAUGGACGAAAGUCUGACCGAGCAACGCCGCGUGAGUGAAGAAGGUUUUCGGAUCGUAAAGAUCUGUUGUAAGAGAAGAACGGGUGUGAGAGUGGAAAGUUCACACUGUGACGGUAUCUUACCAGAAAGGGACGGCUAACUACGUG